UUAGGGUUAAAAAUGCCAGUUUUGUAAGCACACCACCUAAGUUACUGGAUGACUUUGGAUUCUGUGACCAAGCUUUGUUUGUUUGUUUGUUUGUUUGUGGGCUGCAGAGCGAAAUGUCUGUCCAUUUAUUCUGUGCCUAGAAUGGGCUGCUGGUGCUGUACCCACACUUAGUCUCACAAGCUUUGAACGCUCAGUUUGUUACAGUGGAAGAAUUCUUGCUCUAGAUCUCUUUCUGGAUGGUGAUUUUUGUUAAAUCCCUUUUUCUUUUUUGGCUUGGAAUCUUGUUUCAUCAACUAGGUACUGGUCUCAGAAUGGAAGGUAGUUUUUUAGCUGAAUUUUGUUGCUUCAGUUCGUGCUUGUUAGUGAGACUCUGAACGAGGAUUGUGUGUUCUCGGUUGGAAGGGUUUAGUACAGAGGACUGUAGGUCUCUCUACCCUUGAGUUGGAGAAUUGGGUCCCAUGUGAGUCGUGUCGGAACAUGGGCUUUGUAGGCGUUUUGCUUUGAAAGAGUGUUCUGUUGUGUUGUGUGCUGUGGAAUGGAGUUGUAGGGUUCUGCUGGAAAUACAGGAGUGAAGAGCAAGGGGUGGCUGUUGAAGCAAUGACACAGCAGCAGCAACCAUUGGUGGCCAGCAAAGCUUGUACCCCGAGCAUGGAAGUGUGAGCUGCUGCAUCGUGUGAGACUGUGAUGGCUUGUCAAGUCUCAGCUCGCUCCAGAAACCCUUGCGUCUCCUCACUGCGGUGUAAAGACUCUGGCAACUUUGCUCAAAGGUUUGUGUCCGGAAGGUUGUGAGGAUUAUACUGCUGUUCUUCUCCAUCUUCUUUUCUUAAUCUUUUAAUUUGUCAUGGUCGUGAAGAUCAGGGUUGAUCUUCUCAUGUAGCUGUUUGAACAGUGGCUAUGACCGUAACAUGAAAUGGAAAACCAUAGAUUGAGCAUAUGUGGGUUUCCUUUAAAAUGCAGAACCUGUGAUGAUUAUUAUGAAGCAACUCAUUGGACAACAAUAAAUUGCACGAACUUUAACCAUGAAUUAUGGGUAAUCCAUAUCAAAGAACGCGGAUCCAUGCUGAGUACUGGAAGGCAUAGAUCAGUUGAUUACCUUGCGACUUGGUCCAGUCAGUCAUAGAUGAACCUCCAAGAAGGCAGCUUCUUUCACCAUCCUUCUCCUGUGACGCUUGAACUCUUCUCAGAUUGCUCACCGCAGGUACAAUUACGAUCAAUACUGAUCAGCUCACGACUGCAUUUGCAGUCUCUUGCGAAUGAGCUGAGGAGAUGAUUUGAACUGUCAGAUUGUAGCCGAGUCUGCUAAGUGGUGGGUUGAAUUUAGGGCUGCUUGAGAAAGUUGUGAGGUAGCGUUGCAUAUUGUGGCCCCCAUCGAAAUUAGAAAGUCGCAAUUGGAGAUUGUUAAGUGAAGGCAAGAAUAGGACGCAGAUUUAAUCUAUUUUAUUUUAAUGUUUUCAUUCUUGUAAUCUCUUCCUUAGGGAUGAUUAUUUAUUUAUUUAUUUACAUAUUUUUUCAUUUUGUAUUCCUGAUUAAACUAAUUACGUCACCGUUUCUAUCUACUCAUGUUUUAAUUUUCAAUUUUUGAUUCUUCUUUUUUCUUUUUAUUGUCAUGUGUUUCACCAUGUUCACAACCGACCUGACCCCUUCGUGAACGUAUUCAUAAUUAAUUAUCUGGGACCAAAUUUUUGCAAGAUGCUUUACUUGCGGAAUAUCCUGGAGGGAGGAUUCCUGGCUGAAGGCUGAAGUUUAAGGCGGGUCACUUUUAACGUUGGACAUCCCCCACUCUACAAUGAGAUGCGCAAUUUUAAUCCACCUGGCCAGAGAUCCUUGAUUUGAGGCGGUGUCUUCUUAUCGAGGACGGUUCCGUGUGCAUAAAAUUGGGGUUCUGUUAUAUGCCAAGUUGUACAGAUUUUUCUUGAGAGGACUUCUUAUGCAACGAGAAAAUUAUAGUUUUAAUUUGGAAUUUGGUUUAUUGAGGGCUAAACAUUGAAGAGUUAACAGUUUUAAGUAGCUGCAGGGUUCAACUUCACCAAUUUAGGGGUUCAGUUAGGUAGUUCGACCUAUUAUCACUUUGUGAAUUUGUGAACAACUUUGAGGGAGACUAGUUACGCUAGGGUUUGCCAUGCAGGUUUAUCAAACAAUUUAAAAUAUAUAUAUAGUGACGGAUGGUACUGAUUAAAUUUAA